CCCCUUUUUCAACGUUUUUAACAUGCACACGAAUAAUUAAUAUAUAAUAAUAAUGAUGAUGAUAAUCUUUUAUCUGUGUAUGUGUGUAACCAUUACUGGAUAAAGAAGAACCUCUGCAGAAUAGGACAGCACUAUGUGCAGUUUGCAAUUAUAAACACUUCCAAAUAAAUAUUUUUGGGCAAAUCCAUCAUCUUCUGUGCAUUUUUUGCCAGGCUGCUUUGCUCCUUUGUACAUUUUAGUCAUAUCACCUGAGUAAUAUAGCAAAUACCCCUAAGAGCAGGUUUUACCUUGCAGCAACUUCAUGUAAAGGUAUUUAAUGCAAGAAAAAAAAACAUUGAUUAUGUUUUCGUACGUACACACUAGACUUGUGUACCUGUGCAACAGAUUAUACACUAGCCUGUUUUACAGGAUAAUGAUGGUUAAAGUCCCCACAAGUACUUUGAGGUUCUGAACAGACUGGAUGAUGCGAUGGGGAAAUAAGAGACUGGACAGGACAGCCACUCUGAAAGUGAGGCCUCGUCUUCAAAGAGAGUGCUAGGCCUGUCCUGAUCAAAGGUCCAGGUUUUCCUCCCCCCGCCAAGCCUUUUCCUUCAGGCCUGACAGUCACACAAAUCUGGCCAAGCAGUUGAAGAGAUCCGCACAUAGGAGCCCAGUGAUUUUUUUUCAGGAAUGCGUGUGUGUUUUUGGAGGAUGAGGGGAGGGAGCACCGGGGUGUCCCUGGCUUCCGUCUGUCGAGGCACUAUUGAACUUGGUAAUGUGAGUCCUUUCCCUGAGCAGCAGCACAAUGUGCCCUGUUGUUUGCGUCAGGUUAAUCCUUUGGCCUGGUUCAGGAGAUGAUAUGGUGUGAGUAUAUAUUUAAGAAACAUAAAGAUAAAAGCUAUUUUUACCUUAGAAUCAGGGGUCCCCCCGCCCC